GAACUGUAGAGUUUGAUCCUGGCUCAGAUUGAACGCUGGCGGCAUGCCUUACACAUGCAAGUCGAACGGUAACAGGUCUUCGGAUGCUGACGAGUGGCGAACGGGUGAGUAAUACAUCGGAACGUGCCCGAUCGUGGGGGAUAACGAAGCGAAAGCUUUGCUAAUACCGCAUACGAUCUACGGAUGAAAGCGGGGGAUCUUCGGACCUCGCGCGGACGGAGCGGCCGAUGGCAGAUUAGGUAGUUGGUGGGAUAAAAGCCUACCAAGCCGACGAUCUGUAGCUGGUCUGAGAGGAUGAUCAGCCACACUGGGACUGAGACACGGCCCAGACUCCUACGGGAGGCAGCAGUGGGGAAUUUUGGACAAUGGGGGAAACCCUGAUCCAGCCAUGCCGCGUGCAGGAUGAAGGCCUUCGGGUUGUAAACUGCUUUUGUACGGAACGAAAAGUCUCUUCCUAAUACGAAGGGGUGAUGACGGUACCGUAAGAAUAAGCACCGGCUAACUACGUGCCAGCAGCCGCGGUAAUACGUAGGGUGCAAGCGUUAAUCGGAAUUACUGGGCGUAAAGCGUGCGCAGGCGGUUAUGUAAGACAGAGGUGAAAUCCCCGGGCUCAACCUGGGAACUGCCUUUGUGACUGCACAGCUGGAGUGCGGCAGAGGGGGAUGGAAUUCCGCGUGUAGCAGUGAAAUGCGUAGAUAUGCGGAGGAACACCGAUGGCGAAGGCAAUCCCCUGGGCCUGUACUGACGCUCAUGCACGAAAGCGUGGGGAGCAAACAGGAUUAGAU
rnacentral:rRNA from 1 species